UACGUAGGGUGCGAGCGUUGUCCGGAAUUAUUGGGCGUAAAGAGCUUGUAGGCGGUUUGUCGCGUCUGCUGUGAAAAUCCGGGGCUCAACCCCGGACUUGCAGUGGGUACGGGCAGGCUAGAGUGUGGUAGGGGAGACUGGAAUUCCUGGUGUAGCGGUGAAAUGCGCAGAUAUCAGGAGGAACACCGAUGGCGAGGGCAGGUCUCUGGGCCACUACUGACGCUGAGAAGCGAAAGCAUGGGGAGCGAACAGG
rnacentral:rRNA from 1 species